rnacentral:tRNA from 1 species
GCCAGCGUAGCUCAGUCGGUUAGAGCAAUGGAAUCAUAAUCCAUUUGUCCGGAGUUCAAUUCUCUGCGCUGGCACUA